CAGUCGCCGCGGUAAUACGUAGGGUGCGAGCGUUAAUCGGAAUUACUGGGCGUAAAGCGUGCGCAGGCGGUUGUGUAAGACAGGUGUGAAAUCCCCGGGCUUAACCUGGGAACUGCGCUCGUGACUGCACAGCUAGAGUAUGGCAGAGGGGGGUGGAAUUCCACGUGUAGCAGUGAAAUGCGUAGAGAUCGGGAGGAACAUCAGUGGCGAAGGCGGCCAUCUGGGACAACACUGACGCUGAGGCACGAAAGCGUGGGGAGCAAACAGGAUUAGAGACCCCCGUAGUCCCUGUCUCUUAUAC
rnacentral:rRNA from 1 species